rnacentral:rRNA from 1 species
UACGUAGGUGGCAAGCGUUGUCCGGAUUUACUGGGCGUAAAGAGCGCGCAGGCGGUCGUUCAAGUCGCGUGUGAAAGCCCCCGGCUCAACUGGGGAGGGUCACGCGAUACUGAUCGACUCGAAGGCAGGAGAGGGUAGUGGAAUUCCCGGUGUAGUGGUGAAAUGCGUAGAUAUUCGCAAGAACACCAGUGGCGAAGGCGGCUCACUGGCCCGAUACUGACGCUGAGGUGCGAAAGCGUGGGGAGCAAACAGGG